CUAUAUUAAAUAAUAUAUCAAGAAGACCAAAAUAUUGAAUAAUAUUGACAAUUGUACUCGAGGAAAUAUAGGACAUAACGGGGACGCCCUCUAGUGGCGACCUUACGAUCAGCAACCCAGUUUUUUUGCUAAUAAACCUCUUGACCAGGGAAUUUUGUUUAUAGGGGUGUGUGUGCGUGUGUGUGUGUGUGUGUGUGUGUGUGUGUGUGUGUGUGUGUGUGUGUGUGUGUGUGUGUGUGUGAGAGUGAGAAAAUGUUCCACUGCAGGACUGACACUGUACAGAAUAAAUAGCUGGGUCCAAAAAAUCCGAGUGCACUACAAUCCGCUAUCUAGGCCACUUUGCAGACGUCUCCUGGUCCCCUGUGGGCGUGUCCCAAACUACACACACACAGAGACACACGCCUGGUCACUACGUAGGUCAAAGUGCAUCACGGGAGUACAAAGUCAGGACCGUGUUGUAUUGUAGGAGUUCCUGUGUGUGUGUGUGUGUGUGUGUGUGUGUUGGACAGAAAAGUGGACUCCAAAGAUAGUUCGAAUAAAUGAGUCGUGAUUUAGGACAGUGAGUGUUAAUUAGUAGUAUUGAAAUUGCGUACAUGUUUGCUCGGUAGUGCACUCUGGCAUUUUGGACGCUAUGUAGCUUCAUCACAUACACACUACCACACACACACACACACACACACACACACACACACACACCAUACACACAUUCAAAGUCCAUUCCUAUGCUUCCAACUCAUAAAUAUUAAAAUGUGUCAUUUAUUUACUGCUACACACCAGGCACGUGCCGAUUAUUAUCCAUACAACCGCCAAAAAUUGACGAGGACCCACACACACACACACACACACACACACACACACCAUAACGCACACUGUUGCCGUCGGAUCCGAUCUGCAACUCCUCCUUCGCACCCGGAAGCCGCCUCGGCGUAUCACACGUCAAAUCAUCGGCACGUGCCUGCGCCGCACACACUGUACAGUUCGUUGAUGUCUGUGUUGUUGACGCUAUGCUAAUCUGUGAUUUGAGCUGUACACUGUUAACUAGUUAAACUUAUUAAUAAAUAAAUUAAAUGUU